rnacentral:piRNA from 1 species
UAGCUCUAUUAGAAGCCGUGGGUCAUGGA